rnacentral:rRNA from 1 species
UUGAAAGAUGGUUUCGGCUAUCGCUUACAGAUGGGCCCGCGGUGCAUUAGCUAGUUGGUAGGGUAAUGGCCUACCAAGGCAACGAUGCAUAGCCGACCUGAGAGGGUGAUCGGCCACACUGGGACUGAGACACGGCCCAGACUCCUACGGGAGGCAGCAGUAGGGAAUCUUCCGCAAUGGACGAAAGUCUGACGGAGCAACGCCGCGUGUAUGAAGAAGGUUUUCGGAUCGUAAAGUACUGUUGUUAGAGAAGAACAAGGAUAAGAGUAACUGCUUGUCCCUUGACGGUAUCUAACCAGAAAGCCACGGCUAACUACGUGCCAGCAGCCGCGGUAAUACGUAGGUGGCAAGCGUUGUCCGGAUUUAUUGGGCGUAAAGCGCGCGCAGGCGGUCUUUUAAGUCUGAUGUGAAAGCCCCCGGCUUAACCGGGGAGGGUCAUUG